rnacentral:tRNA from 1 species
UGGGGUGUAUUUAAUAAAUAUUUCUUUUACAAAGAAAAAAAGCGGUUUAGCGCCACUCUAA